rnacentral:rRNA from 1 species
CCUACGGGAGGCAGCAGUGGGGGAUAUUGCACAAUGGGGGGAACCCUGAUGCAGCGACGCCGCGUGGGUGAAGAAGCGCCUCGGCGCGUAAAGCCCUGUCAGCAGGGAAGAAAAUGACGGUACCUGAAGAGGACGCCCCGGCUAACUACGUGCCAGCAGCCGCGGUAAUACGUAGGGGGCAAGCGUUAUCCGGAUUUACUGGGUGUAAAGGGGGCGCAGACGGCGAUGCAAGCCAGGAGGGAAAGCCCGGGGCCGAACCCCGGGACUGCCCUUGGAACUGCGCGGCUUGAGUGCAGGAGGGGCAGGCGGAAUUCGUGGUGUAGCGGUGAAAUGCGUAGAUAUCAGGAGGAACACCGGUGGCGAAGGCGGCCUGCUGGGCUGCAACUGACGUUGAGGCCCGAAGGCGUGGGGAGCAAACAGGAUUAGAUACCCGAGUAGUC